AUCAAAUUUUAACUUUUGGGAGUCUUGGGAAGGAAAUUGAGUUAUUCUUGAACUGCCAUCAAGACAAUAAACUUAUUAUGAUUGGUGCGAAUCAUUUGAGGUGUUUUUACCAGUCAUAAGAACUGUAUAUGACCACGUGCUAGUUGUCCAGGAAGCAUGUUUGCCAUUAUUAUGAGUACCUCUCUCUAAUUUCUGAACAGACUGUAUAAAGCAUUCCAGGGAAUAGGAAAUAUUCCAUUUCUCACAUGGCAUUUGAAGGUGGAAGUAUAUUAUUUAAAAUGGAAUCACUACAUAAACGUACACACAGAGAUAAACAACUGCAGAACGUAUAGAAUUGAAAUCAAGAAACAAAGUAGCAACCCAAAUUAUAGUCACUCACACAUUGAUCUUGCAGCCUGUGGAUUACGAGCCUCCAUUCUUCAGAAGCAGCUCAGAACAAGAAGCUUAUAAUCCAUGGACAAAAAAUCCUCUGAAAAUGGAGGUUGGGGAUGUCAACAUCAAGCAUUUUGUAUUAGCUCUCAAGUUAAGGAUAGAAUAUUGCAGGAACACUUGGUCCCUUGUUCGAAAAUUUUAAGUUGAUGUUUGUUAAGAGUGUGCUCGAUCCUUGUAAGGAUGAAAAUGAUGACAUUCAAGAUGAUGAUGUAAGCUUGGGGGCUGAUUCUGUACAAAGGGAGUGUUCUAAAUCUGACAGUGAGGUGAUGAGUUAACGUUACAUCUGUUUUUGGUUCUCAAUGAGCUAAAAUACAUGCUAUAAACUUCAUUUACCAUACAGUAGAAAUGCUUAUAAUAAACCAAUUGUCAAAAUUUGCAACUCAUUUCAGAUUGGCCUUCCGGAAGAUGAUCGAUACAUAGUUGCACCAAAUGAUAAGCAAUGGGCUAAUGAAAAUGGUGGGAUGGUUGAUGAAGAUGAUACUCAAGAUCCAGCAGAAGUUGAACAAUAAUUAGAUUGGGUAAAGGACUGGAUCAGCUGUUAUCACCUUGAGACUAUUGAACUGAUCAAUGUCCUCUCAAAUUUUCGCAGCAUCUCAUUGGUAAAGACCUUUACUUGGUUAAGUGGUGUUAAAGAUCAAUGUUGGUUCAACUGACUAUAUUCAAUUUAUUUUGAAUCUGACAAUUUCUUAAUUUUGUAAUGUUAUGAUAUUGGUAUGCAACUUUAUGGUUGCAGGCUUUGAUUGAAGGUAAAUGACGAUUUGACACAUGUUGAAACUUGUAAAAGAAGGCAUCCAAUCCUGCAUGGUUGCACAUUUUAAACUGUAGAAUAAAUUUAAAAUUUCAUUUUUUAAGUGGUUUUCAGAAAUUAUGAACAAGCUAGUUAAGGAAGGUAUUCUAUCUAAGGACAGAACAGACUGUUACACCAUUGACAAACAAAAGGAAGAAAUGGUUGGCCAAGUUGUCCCAAGCAAGAAAGCUUAGCAGGAUAUUGGUGAAGAUCACAUGUACAUGAAGGUAAGUGUAAUAAUUUUUUUCUUCUUAAUGGAAUAAGUUUUAGGUCUCUAAGCUGACUUAUUUGUUUAAGUAGUUUAUCUCCUAACAAAAAAUGUCACACUAAUUACAUUCCACAUUUUUUCCCUCUCCUAUUUUUUGGUUUUUAUUUACGUUUUAGGUUCUUAUUUGCUGGGAAUCUUAGAGCUUCCUGGGCCCUUUAAGUCCCCUCAUUGUUCUUAACCAUUUGCACUAUGUAGAGAAACUAUGACCAACAAUUUAGAGAUACCUGCUUAUAAGUGAACCUACUAAUCUUAUAAGUUUAUUUUCUCCAAUUUUGCAAUUAACCUUAAUAUCAAAAAAUAAUAGCAGUGGCAUAAAGAGUGAUGUAGUGAUAGUGUAUUCACGACUUUGCUUUGUGUAUGGACAAAUUACCAUGAGCUAAUUCUGGUUAAGUUGAAAACUAAUUUGGGUCAUGGUAGUUAUAUAACUAUUCCAAGCUUUCCCUCCUUUAAACUUGUUCUCUUUUGUGCUCUUUUCUUCUUCUUUUCUCUUUCAUCAUUUCGUCUCUUUCUUCUCUUUCUAUUCACUCUCUAUUUAUAUUUUUUC